AUGAACGCUGGCGGCGUGCCUAAUACAUGCAAGUCGAGCGAACAGACGAGGAGCUUGCUCCUCGGACGUUAGCGGCGGACGGGUGAGUAACACGUGGAUAACCUACCUAUAAGACUGGGAUAACUUCGGGAAACCGGAGCUAAUACCGGAUAAUAUAUUGAACCGCAUGGUUCAAUAGUGAAAGACGGUUUUGCUGUCACUUAUAGAUGGAUCCGCGCCGCAUUAGCUAGUUGGUAAGGUAACGGCUUACCAAGGCGACGAUGCGUAGCCGACCUGAGAGGGUGAUCGGCCACACUGGAACUGAGACACGGUCCAGAAUCCUACGGGGGGCAGCAGUAGGGAAUCUUCCGCAAUGGGCGAAAGCCUGACGGAGCAACGCCGCGUGAGUGAUGAAGGUCUUCGGAUCGUAAAGCUCUGUUAUUAGGGAAGAACAAAUGUGUAAGUAACUAUGCACGUCUUGACGGUACCUAAUCAGAAAGCCACGGCUAACUACGUG
rnacentral:rRNA from 1 species